rnacentral:rRNA from 1 species
UACGUAGGGGCCUAGCGUUGUCCGGAAUUAUUGGGCGUAAAGAGCUCGUAGGCGGUUCGGCAAGUCGGAUGUGAAAUCUCCACGCUUAACGUGGAGCGGCCACCUGAUACUGCCGUGACUCGAGUCCGGUAGGGGAGUGUGGAAUUCCGAGUGUAGAGGUGAAAUUCGUAGAUAUUCGGAGGAACACCAGUGGCGAAGGCGGCUCACUGGUCCGGAACUGACGCUGAGGUGCGAAAGCGUGGGGAGCAAACAGG